UCAUGUCAAAUUGUAGUCCCCAAUAUUGGAGG
rnacentral:piRNA from 1 species